CGUGGAACAUAGAACAGCUACGUCGCUUUUACCCUUAGAACUUUGUAAAAAUUUCCAUUUGUUCAUCACCUUGAAAGAAUGAAUGAAAAUUUAAAUUAUAUGACCAUUUCUUUUAAGUAAGCCUCGGACCUGCCUUACAGAGUCCGAGCCUUCCUCGGGGGCUACAUAGGGGGGAACCCUCUGUGGCAACCCCAAUUUUUUUUUCCUUUUUCGCACAAGUCAAGAGAACCCCGACCCAAGGUCUUUUUUUCCCAUUUCCUAAAAAGAUUUAAGAAACCGAAAAUCCAUCCCCUAAAUCUUAAGGCAUGAGCCCGAGGAAAGAUCUGCGCUCACGAGCAAAGACGACCUCCACUCACCUUAGGGUCGGGGGGCGGAUCCGGACUUCUAAAAACUACUAAGAAAAAAGAAAAAAGACUUAGGCCCGAGGACUCCGGCUAGCGCAGACUCUAAGUAGCUUACCCGACCUCGCGCUGCCGAGGUCGGGUCGGCAUAGGGAAAAAGAAAACAAGACACUCAAAGCUUAAAAGGAACAAUCAUAUAAAUAUUCAUACUUAGCAUUAACAUCGUAUAUGCAAUACAAGGCCCACUGGCCUUCAAUCUUUACAAAAAAGAAAAAAGAAAUCUAACUUAAAGGGCCUUGUUGCCCUGCCUGCCCAGGCCCUUGCCCCCCGAGGGGGGAAGCUCCACCUCGUCAUCGAAGAAGGCGGCCAAGGCAUCUCCGGGGGC
rnacentral:lncRNA from 1 species